UGCUAUGGCCAUACCACCCUAAACAUACCCAAUUCCAUCUGAUCUUGGAAUGUAAGCAGAGUUGGGCCUGGUUAGUACUUGGAUGGGAGACCGCCUAGGAAGACCAGGGGCUGUAGGCA
rnacentral:rRNA from 1 species